rnacentral:rRNA from 1 species
UACGUAGGGUGCAAGCGUUAAUCGGAAUUACUGGGCGUAAAGCGUGCGCAGGCGGUUGUGCAAGACAGAUGUGAAAUCCCCGGGCUCAACCUGGGAAUUGCAUUUGUGACUGCACGGCUAGAGUGUGUCAGAGGGGGGUAGAAUUCCACGUGUAGCAGUGAAAUGCGUAGAGAUGUGGACGGAAUACCCGUGGCGAAGGCGGCCCCCUGGGCCGAACCUGACGCUGAGGCGGCGAAAAGCGUGGGGAGCAAACAGG